rnacentral:tRNA from 1 species
GACUCCAUGGCUUAGCUGGUUAAAGUGCCUGCCUAUUAAACAGAAGAUCCUGGCUCCGAUUCCCAGUGGUGCCC